UUUAGAAAAGAGCAAACCCCGGGAAACCGAGGCUCGCAAAGUUAUGGAUCCAAUCCCCCUUGCUACGAUAUAAGAUCGGAACAGACAGGGGGUGGGUUGCCAGGCCGCCUAA
rnacentral:ncRNA from 1 species